CGAACGCUGGCGGCGUGCUUAACACAUGCACGUCGAACGGAAAGGCCCUGCUUUUGUGGGGUGCUCGAGUGGCGAACGGGUGAGUAACACGUGAGUAACCUGCCCCUGACUUUGGGAUAACUUCAGGAAACUGGGGCUAAUACCGGAUAGGAGCUCCUGCUGCAUGGUGGGGGUUGGAAAGUUUCGGCGGUUGGGGAUGGACUCGCGGCUUAUCAGCUUGUUGGUGGGGUAGUGGCUUACCAAGGCUUUGACGGGUAGCCGGCCUGAGAGGGUGACCGGCCACAUUGGGGCUGAGAUACGGCCCAGACUCCUACGGGAGGCAGCAGUGGGGAAUAUUGCACAAUGGGCGGAAGCCUGAUGCAGCAACGCCGCGUGCGGGAUGACGGCCUUCGGGUUGUAAACCGCUUUCGCCUGUGACGAAGCGUGAGUGACGGUAAUGGGUAAAGAAGCACCGGCUAACUACGUG
rnacentral:rRNA from 1 species